UCUGAGCUGCAUAUAGAAUAUGAACUGCCAUCGUGCAGAAUACUAUUCUUCCCAGGAAUUGUUGGGCACCGAUGGGUGACAUACGCAUGGUGUCUUGAUAGAAACAUAAUAUCUGUAUUUGACCCUUGUUUCAAUGAAAAUUGCAUUGACGAACACAAGGAUGUGCACAUAUACGUCAUUGGACUGAUUAAAAAUGCCAUGAAAUUGACAGCAAGUCAUUUGAUAACUGGCUGGAAUUACAACUGGGAAGCAGCAAGAAUAGAAAUAAUAGCCACCCAAUUUGCCAGAAGCACCUGGAAUAGGAGCACAGGUUGCGCUGCUGCCCAAUUCUGCUUUCACUAUAAUGGAAUGCUUUCUUCACUUUCAAGAGUAAAUGUAACAGAUGCAUCAAAGGUUGCAGAAAUGCUCACUGACGCACUAGGCUUAAAAGAAAACCAAGGGUUCGUGCCCACAACAUAAAGGUACC